UCUGGUUACACACUUUGCAAUACUUUACCUUUCUGCUCUUCUCUAAAUAAUGAUAUCUAGAAAGUUUACAGUGAUUUUUUAACGUAGUACAUGGACUGCGAACAAACAUAAUAUAGGUUUUUUAAAACGAACAAUUUUGAUUUAAUAUCAUUCAUUUAUGCAGAGAUAUCCUUUUCUGAAAGAGCAAAGUUGUAUCGGUUCUUGUACUCGAAGUUCUUCAGCCUAGAUAUUUGUCA